UACAGAGGUCUCAAGCGUUGUUCGGAUUCAUUGGGCGUAAAGGGUGCGUAGGCGGCGCGGUAAGUCGGGUGUGAAAUCUCGGGGCUUAACUCCGAAACUGCAUUCGAUACUGCCGUGCUUGAGGACUGGAGAGGAGACUGGAAUUUACGGUGUAGCGGUGAAAUGCGUAGAUAUCAGGAGGAACACCGGUGGCGAAGGCGGAUCUCUGGGCCGAUACUGACGCUGAGGAGCGAAAGCGUGGGGAGCGAACAGG
rnacentral:rRNA from 1 species